UACGGAAGGCAGCAGUGGGGAAUAUUGCACAAUGGGCGCAAGCCUGAUGCAGCCAUGCCGCGUGUAUGAAGAAGGGCCUUCGGGUUGUAAAGUACUUUCAGUCGUGAGGAAGGUGUUAAGGUUAAUAACCUUAGCAAUUGACGUUAGCGACAGAAGAAGCACCGGCUAACUCCGUGCCAGCAGCCGCGGUAAUACGGAGGGUGCGAGCGUUAAUCGGAAUUACUGGGCGUAAAGGGCACGCAGGCGGUUAAUUAAGUUGGAUGUGAAAUCCCCGGGCUUAACCUGGGAAUGGCAUUCAAGACUGGUUAGCUAGAGUCUUGUAGAGGGGGUAGAAUUCCAUGUGUAGCGGUGAAAUGCGUAGAGAUGUGGAGGAUACCGGUGGCGAAGGCGGCCCCUGGGACAAAGGACUGACGCUCGAUGUGCGAAAGCGUGGGGAGCAAACAGGAUUAGAUACC
rnacentral:rRNA from 1 species